UACAGAGGGGGCUAGCGUUGUUCGGAAUUACUGGGCGUAAAGGGCGCGUAGGCGGCCCUCUAAGUCGAACGUGAAAUCCCCGGGCUCAACCCGGGAACUGCGUCCGAUACUGGAGGGCUCGAAUCCGGGAGAGGGAUGUGGAAUUCCAGGUGUAGCGGUGAAAUGCGUAGAUAUCUGGAGGAACACCGGUGGCGAAGGCGGCAUCCUGGACCGGUAUUGACGCUGAGGCGCGAAAGCCAGGGGAGCGAACGGG
rnacentral:rRNA from 1 species